UGCAGCAAUGCAUGGAGCUGACUAUUACUAAUCGGUCGAGGGCAUGACCA
rnacentral:rRNA from 1 species